AGCGAACGCUGGCGGCAGGCUUAACACAUGCAAGUCGAGCGGGCACUUUCGGGUGUCAGCGGCGGACGGGUGAGUAACGCGUGGGAACGUGCCCUCUGGUUCGGAAUAACUCAGGGAAACUUGAGCUAAUACCGGAUACGCCCUUUUGGGGAAAGGCUUGCUGCCGGAGGAUCGGCCCGCGUCUGAUUAGCUAGUUGGUGAGUUAACGGCUCACCAAGGCGACGAUCAGUAGCUGGUCUGAGAGGAUGAUCAGCCACACUGGGACUGAGACACGGCCCAGACUCCUACGGGAGGCAGCAGUGGGGAAUAUUGGACAAUGGGCGCAAGCCUGAUCCAGCCAUGCCGCGUGAGUGAUGAAGGCCUUAGGGUUGUAAAGCUCUUUUAUCCGGGACGAUAAUGACGGUACCGGAGGAAUAAGCCCCGGCUAACUUCGUG
rnacentral:rRNA from 1 species